UACGUAGGGGGCAAGCGUUGUCCGGAAUCAUUGGGCGUAAAGCGCGUGUAGGCGGCCUUGUAAGUCCGUUCUGAAAGCCCGGGGCUCAACCCCGGGAGGCGGAUGGAUACUGCAAGGCUCGAGUCCGGAAGAGGCGAGUGGAAUUCCCGGUGUAGCGGUGAAAUGCGCAGAUAUCGGGAGGAACACCAAUGGCGAAGGCAGCUCGCUGGGACGGUACUGACGCUGAGGAGCGAAAGCCAGGGGAGCAAACGGG
rnacentral:rRNA from 1 species